UGGGGUGUGGCUCAAUAGUAGAGCACUUGCCUGGCACGUGUGAGGCACUGGGUUCAAUUCUUAGCACCACAU
rnacentral:tRNA from 1 species